rnacentral:tRNA from 1 species
GGGCCCGUAGUUCAGUUGGGAGAACGCCUGAUUUGCAUUCAGGAGGUAAGGGGUUCGAACCCCCUCGGGUCCACCA